rnacentral:rRNA from 1 species
AACGAACGCUGGCGGCAUGCCUAACACAUGCAAGUCGAACGAGACCUCCGGGUCCAUUCUCGUAUGGGUGCGUCACGCGUGGGAACCUGCCCUUAGGUUCGGCAUAACUCCCCGAAAGGGGUGCUAAUACCGGACCAUGUCUUCGGACCGAAGAUUUAUCGCCGUUGGAUGGGCCCGAGUUGGAUUAGCUAGUUGUUAGGGUAAAAGCCUACCAAGGCGCCGAUCCAUAGCUGGUCUGAGAGGAAGAUCAGCCACACUGGGAGUGAGACACGGCCCAGAAUCCUACGGGAGGCAGCAGUGGGGAAUAUUGGAACAUGGGCGAAAGCCUGAUCCAGCUAUGCCGCGAGAGUGAUGAAGGUAUUAGGGAUGUAAAGCUCUUUUAACCGGGAUGAUAAUGACAGUACCGGAAGAAUAAGCGCCGGCUAACUCCGUG